GGUGAUUCAGUGGUAGAAUGCUUGCCUUGCAUGCAUGAGGCCCUGGGUUCAAUUCCUCAGUACCA
rnacentral:tRNA from 1 species